rnacentral:rRNA from 1 species
CCUACGGGAGGCAGCAGUGGGGAAUAUUGCACAAUGGGGGAAACCCUGAUGCAGCGACGCCGCGUGAGCGAAGAAGUAUUUCGGUAUGUAAAGCUCUAUCAGCAGGGAAGAAAAUGACGGUACCUGACUAAGAAGCUCCGGCUAAAUACGUGCCAGCAGCCGCGGUAAUACGUAUGGAGCAAGCGUUAUCCGGAUUUACUGGGUGUAAAGGGGGCGCAGACGGCGAUGCAAGCCAGGAGUGAAAGCCCGGGGCCCAACCCCGGGACUGCUCUUGGAACUGCGUGGCUAGAGUGCAGGAGGGGCAG